ensembl:lncRNA
AGUAGGGCUGGCUGUGGUAGUGUAGGGUAAGUUUGUAGGUAAUGUGGCUUGUGUUGGUUCCCUCCUGAGACCACUGAUAUGGCGGAAUGGAGGAACAAUUUUGAAACCAGCUCAACACAAGAUUGACAUAAGGGAAGCCAUAUUGUAGAAAAGGGACCAUGUUGUAACUUUGAAUGACCUCUGACUGACUAACCCAGCUGGAUUUGCACCCUCCAGGAGAUCCACCUGUUCUGUGGAUUUUAUGACCUCUGCUAGUGCAUAUACCUGCCAGCAGCAAUAAGAUGAUAACUUCAUGCUUUUGAGUUCCUUAGGAAUGUGAUGACCCCCCAAACAGAGAGUCUAUGCUGAUAGUCAUCUUCAAUGAAAACUGAAAGAUCUGGUGUGGCAACUCCCAGUCUGCAACACCAGAGGGUCAACAUUCCUAACCCCUCCCCUAUAACCCACUGGCCUAUAUAACUACUUCAAGAUUCUGUGCCCCCAUUAAGAUCGUUCUUUUGGACAUUACUAGGCUGUCUUCCCUCUUGCUAGCAAGCUGUAAUAAAAUGCCCUUUCUCUGCCAUCAUCUUGCCUCUUGACGAUUGGUUUUUGUCUUGCAGUGAGCAAGACAAAUCGUGCCCUUUGUGUGGUAACAAAAUCUGGUGACCAUGAAGGGACAAUAAGUUCUGCUCAUGGCCAGUCGACCUCAGAUGAGUGACCUGUUGGUGCUAUGUCCUGAGAGCUUGGCUUGGUGACGUCUCUGGUCACAAGGGGUCCCAGUCCAUCGGGGGCCUGUGUCGUCUCAACCUUUGUUGCCUGUCAGUGCACUACCACCUGUGCAGCAGAAGCCUUUGCUUCCUUGGAUUAUUUUUGGGAGUGAAGUUUCUAGAUCUUGUGAGGUCUGCUUCUUUUGCACUCUCUUGUGAAGAUGCCUCUUGCAUCCAAGGUAAGCCAUAAAUGCUUGUAGAUAUUGGAACGUUAUAAAAAGCUCAUAAGGAAAAUGUGCCCCAGAAACUCCAUCUUGGAGAAAACUUAAGUGUCUUUAUGAUGUAGUUGGACAGGUAGAUCAACCUAUAAUGUCAUUUGAGUUACAACCCAGUUUCUGAGAAAUCAAGAGCAACUGUCCCUGGAAAAUCCUUGUAAGGCUGGUAAAGCAGCUCUAGAGGUGGUUCAGGUUCCACCCAUUUCCCUUAUCUCAAAGAGCUUGCAAAUCCUCUGGGGACUACCUAGCCCAUCACUAAUUCCUAAGAUUGAAGAAAAAAAAGGGGGAAAUGAAAAAAAGGGCAGAAAUGUGCCCUUGCCAAAAAUCUAGCAUCUUGAAUGUCUUCUCUACAAAUAUUAGUAAAAAAGGCUUAAAACAAAAAUUUGCUUUCAUAGUUAGGGAGCCUUGUACCUGAUUCAUGGCAGUAAUUUUAAAACAAUAGCUGUGCAGUCUCUGUGUAUGUGUGUCUAUAUGUAUGUUAAAUGUGUGUGAUAUUUUUACCUCCAGAUGGUAUGGCCAAAAAUUGAGAGCUCUGUUUAAUUGGCUUAAAAUAAGUGCUUACCUAAAUUAUUUCUAAAUGGAAAAGAAAUUAACCCAAAUGUCUGAGUUAACAUGAUAUAAAAUUAAUCUUUGAUACCUGAAAGCUUAUUUAAGAUCAUUGGUUUGAUUGAAAUAAGCAUGUCCGUAUUUGGAUAUGAUGCGGACAUGUCUGGUUUUAUUGGUCAAAUAAGCUGGUGUUAUCUCUACCACAAAAGUGGUUAGCAAAAAUAAUAACUUAAAAUGUUGGCUAAUUUUAUCUAAUGUCUCAUGAAGUUUUGUAGGCAACCUAAGUAAUUAUUAGAAACAAGGAAAAGAAUAAACAUAAAAAGGGUGAAAGUUUUGGGGGAAACUUUUUAAGAAUGAUUAUGUGCUAUGAUGUAUGCCUUUAAAACAACUUAAGAUGAUGGCUAAGUGCUUUAUUGUCACAUGAAGUUUUUGUGAGUAAUCUAAACAUGAUUGUUACAAACAAAUGGUCUAGAUAAAAGUGAGAUAAGAGUUUACAGAUAAACUUUAGCAAUAAUUAUGGUUUAUGACAUGCGUACUUAAAAUAGCUUCCAAAAUCUCUUUGGUGACUUGAAACAUUGAAGUUUUGAUAGGUUAAACUGAAUAAUAAAAUUCAUUGAGUUAUCUAGAUCAUUUCUCAAUAAGAUAGAAUAUUAGAUGUUAAUUAUUAAAUCUGGUUUAUCUACUUUUGGCUUCUUUUUACAAAGAAACUAAAAGGUCUUUGAGUCUAUUAGUAAACAUGAAUUGUAUUUUAUUAAGUUUGUGUCAUGAAGUAGCAUGUUCCUAGAAAUUAUAAAUACUAUUUAUAAAUUUGCCAAGCCACAGUAUGCUAAUGUAAAAGACAGUUCAUAAUUGCUUAGCUUUGAGUUUUUACUAGGGUCUGUAAGGGUUAAAAAUUCUAAUUAAUGUAUGUAAUUAAAGCUACUAAAAAUUAAUACGGCAAACAUCUUUGUACCUAAGAAAAGUAAAAUGUAUGUUUUCAGUAAAGAAGCUAUAAAGAAUGGAAAUAUUUUUGUUUGUUGGGUUAAGAAAGAUAGAUUUGUUUUAAAGUACUAGAAGAAAAAAAGGAAGCAUGGGACAAAUUCUGAAUGUAAAAAGAAAGUUAAAGAAGAUUUGUGAAAGAGAAAUUCUGAAAGGCGUUUUAUACCUGGUCAAGUUGGCUAAGAUUAAAGUAAAUCCAACUAAGUAAAUGAGUUUUAAUGUAAAAGAAAAUGAGCUGGUACAAAAAUUAAAAUUUGGUUUUCUCUCUCAAAAGGAUAAUUUUCUUGAACUUUUGGUCUUCUCUUGAUAAAGAGGUUAUAAAAGGGUUUUCUUUAACAUUAAGUUUAUCUAAAAGACAGAAAAUCUAGGUUUUGUUAAAGUAAUUUCCUAUGUUCAGAAAGAAAGAGGUCCCUCUAUUAAGAUUUUUUUUGACUGUUUUAACUGUUCUUGACUGUUUCUGUGGUCACUUUGUAUAGAUAACUGAGCAUUGUUUCCUAUAAGAACAAUUGUUUUAAAAUGUUUUGAUAUUUUUGAGAAGCUUCCUCCGCCUCCAACCAAAAUAUUCAAAUCCUGAAUAAAAGCUUUCUUUUGACUUGGGUGAAGGGAGAGAAUCUUGCUGAGGAUUUUCAGAGGGCCCCUGAGACUUCUCAAAGAGAUUUUCUCUCUCUUUCCAUAAGGAGGAAGACACUAAGCUAAUUAGGCUUAUUUGGUAUGUUAAAUUACACAGGAAGCAUUGUCAAAGAAGUGAUGAUAAACUUUCUAUGGUGGUACUAUGUGAGUAAAUGUUAUUGAUAUAAAUGUUUUAAAAAUUACAUAACAUUCCUAAAAUUCCCAUUGGUCCUGGUUGUCAGCCAUAAUUCUGGUUAUUAUUUUAAAGUAUUGUAUGUCACAAAAUUAACCAAAUUUCUUUUUCAGUUGUCAUUUAGGGAUCUUGUUCUUUACAGAUAGUUAUUGUUUUACUCUGAUGCUUUUGCAGAUAUGUUUCGUAUUCAGAGAAAUUCGUGGAAAGGACUCUGACACUCUGGAAUACAGGUUUCUGACCCACUUCAGAUCGUAAAACUGAAGUGGGUAAGAAAUUAUAGAACUCUAAUAGAGAAACUGAUGAGCUCAUGAAACUGCUGACAGAAGAUUAAGAUCAAGAAUCAAUUACACAGGACUGUGGAACUGAUGAGCAGGAUUAUAAUUUUUAUGAUUUUUGUUUAAAAUCUUGUUGAUUUUUUAAUGUUUUGUUUUGUUUUCCCAGAUUUUAGGAAAUCUUUUUUUUUUCUCUUAUGCUAACUAUGACUUAUAGCAAUUUGGUGAAAUUAUACCUUUGUGAGCAGAAUUGAAACAUUUAUCUUUUUCUCCCUACCUGAUCCCUCCAGAAUUUGGAAACUCUUAGUGAGUGAGUGAGUAUGGUUAUUUUCAUGGCAAUAUAGUUAUUUGCAUAAGUUCAGUAAGAAUCUGUUCCCCUUAUAACAGGACACAUUUGGAAACAUUGAUUAUAUAACCAAGGCUUUGACUAGAAUGCCAUAUUUGAGAGACACAUAUAGACUCAGAUAUGACAAGACAGCUUUUGAGGAAUAAAUGUUGACUUCUUGGAAUAAAGCCACUUGGAAAUAUUGGCCUGAUAACUUGUUUACAAGGAUUCCAGCAACCUGGGUAAGUAAGGAAGGUCACUUAUCUGGCAGGUACCUGGAACCUUGAAAUACUUUGGGGAACCUCAAGGCAAGAGAGGAAUUCACUCAAAUCUAAAGUGUUGCAGGCGGAGCCUGAUGACAAAUCCUUGGCUUGGAUUUUCUGGCCUCAAGAAGCUUUUAAAGUUCAACCUGAGAUUCCUUAUAAAAAGUUCCAGCAAAGCAGAUUUUAAAAAGCAUAUAUGAUCAAUGGCUAUUCUUGCUGUACUUAUGUAAAUAAUUGAAUUAAGUUUUAUUGAAACUAGGCUUAUUUUGCAAACUAAUGAGUCUUAAUUGGCUAUCUUUGGUAAAAAGGGGGUGAUUUUAGAGAGAAAAAUUAUAUUUCAGUAGGAGCUAUGGUACACAUUCGUGGAUAUUAGAUUCUAGUUCUGUUAAGUGCAUUUGAGGUUUUUGUUUGUAUCUGUUUACUGUACUGGAUCCUAAACUCUUCUAGUCUCUUGAAAUAUCUGGCUACAUAUCUCCAAACUAGCUAUUUCAAUAUUUUUUUCCAUCAUUUUCACUUGGAAUCAUUGAGAACUGAACCUGCCCUUUUCCUGCCAAGUCUUGCAAACUGAAGCUGGAGGACUUGAUAUAAACUUAAGAGGGAGAGAUUCAUAUCUGUUGCUGUGUAAGCCCCUCAGAAAGAUACCUGAACACCCAAUGACAUCAUCAGGGACAUCUAAAACUGCAAAAGAUGCUUUGACCCUGACAUCUAGAAAUCUUCUUGACUGGCUGCCCCUGGGCUCAGAACUGGUUUAUAAUUUGCUCCCACCAUUAGCCUUACUCUCCUUCUGUCUCUCUAGAAAUGCUUCUUAUUAAAUACCUGGUUACUUGCUUACCCAAUAUAGGCCUAACUUCAGGAACCCACCUGCAUCACCAUCUUACUAAGAGACUGGUUCAAUGAGAUGGAACAACCUAUGCUCCUCAACGACAGGAUGUCCCUCAAGAUUGAGGAAUGAAAAACAAAAAGGCAGAAUUGAAACCGACUCAACACAAGAUUGACAUAACGCAAGCCAUAUUGUAGAAAAGAGACCAUGUUGUAACUUUGAAUGACCUCUGACUGACUAACCCAGCUGGAUUUGCACCCUCCAGGAGAUCCACCUGUUCUGUGGAUUUUAUGACCUCUGCUAGUGCAUAUACCUGCCAUCUGCAAUAAGAUGAUAACUUCAUGCUUUUGAGUUCCUUAGGAAUGUGAUGACCCCCCAAACAGAGAGUCUAUGCUGAUAGCCAUCUUCAAUGAAAACUGAAAGAUCUGGUGUGGCAACUCCCAGUCUGCAACACCAGAGGGUCAACAUUCCUAACCCCUCCCCUAUAACCCACUGGCCUAUAUAACUGCUUCAAGAUUCUGUGUCCCUUUUAAGAUUGUUCUUUUGGACAUUAUUAGGCCAUCUUCCCUCUUGCUAGCAAGCUGUAAUAAAAUGCCCUUUCUCUGCCACCAUCUUGCCUCUUGACGAUUGGCUUUUGUCCUGUGGCGAGCAGAUUGGGCUCUUUGUGUGAUAACAGUUUGAUUACUCUAAGCCUUCUCCCAAUGUUCUUGGCUACUUGUCCUUCUUCCUUAGAGCAUUUGUCUUGUCUCUAAGCCCUUGCUUUAAACCUAUGCUGUCUCCUCAUGGUGUCACACAUGCACACAGAGGACAGAAACACUUUCUUAAUGGAGGAUUGGAACCAAAGUGUUUGAAGAGGCCCCUCAGCACCCCUGAGCAUGGAGGCCAGAGUGGUUUGUCCUUCACCGUCACCAUGUCUCAUUCUCCUAAAGAGCUGGCUCAAAAGGAAAUGCACAGAUGCCCAGACUAUUUGCUAAAGGAAAUGACACAUUAUCCUCUUCCGAACAUCUGGUAAUUCCUAAAAGACAGUCAGGCCCUGAUAAUACGGUUGGCUCACUAGAAGCCUGAGUCUUCUUUCCCAAGGGAGGUGGGGGCGAACCAAGGAGGACAGAGUCUAUUUUUGGUGUCAGCCCUAGGGGAUGCCUUGAGGAGGGGGAGAGGGGUCACCAGCACUGCUGUUCUGUUCUGUUCUGUGAGCCAGGAAUGCAUGCUUCCUUCCUGUCCAGCCCUGAGCAGCCGUCUCUUUCUUAAGUUUCAGAUCUUCCAUGGAGAGCUGAAAAGAUUUAAAAAUUCCAUCAUGGGCCGGAAUGGCUUGACAUGAGGGCAGGUGAACUAAUGACUUGGGGAAAUGAGAUUUGUCAGAACACUGGGUGUUGAAGUUACUGCAAAGGAAAGCAGAGCUGUGUCAGGUUGAGUGGCUAUCACAAGAUGGAAUAGUGACUCAGAGGACUCACUAGCAUCUGGCUGCCCCUUGGCUAGGAAAUGCACAUUUUUUUUAGCCCUAAGGCAUCCUCUGGAGGCAAAAUGCAACAUGUAGAAAGAAUAGGAGAGGUGUGCGUGGAGUGCCUCGCUUCCCCAGUUAAUUGAUUUUGCACAGGUGAGAAGAAGCAAGCCUUGAACUCAAUGGGAAAUCCCGGAGGUGGAUGCCUCAGGACUGACCCCCGUUGGUCAGCAUCUAGACCAAUGAAGCACCUUAAGUCGAGGACUGAGAGAAGCAAGUCUUGUUCUCAUUAAAUUAGCCCAGGACUGGGGAGUGGGUGGAGGGGGUUGGGGAGGGCACCUCUGCCUCAGGAUCUAAGGCCACUUGUUGUACCAGGUCUUUGUUUUGUCCCAGCCAGGGCACUCUGGGGAAAGCAUCCUGAGAAUUCGCCCUGCAAACAGAAAGGGCAUUUCCUUGUGUGGGUUUCCUGUUUAGGUCUGCGUAGAAACCCAAAGGAUCACUUGGCCUCAUAAAUCCUCUAGACAUUACUGAUGUAGAUGCUCUGGCUAGAUGCCAUGGGAAAAUUGCACAAAAAUAGAAGAAGAGAGGAAAGCGCAUUCCCUCUCAGGAUUCUGGGUGGGUUUCAGGCUUCAUGUUUUUGUAAAUAGAGGGGGUUGGGCUAGAGGAGAUGAUCUUAAGUUCCCUUCCAGCUUUGCUAUUCUCAGAUUCCGUUGCCCUCCCAAGGGUCACCCGGAGCUCCCGCUCUCCCGCUCAGUAAUGGGGGUCUGCUGAGCACCUCUCCAAACAGAAGCAGGAUGGAAGUUUCAGGCAAAAAAUCAGGAAGUUGCCUUAGAAUCUCUUUUAGGCUCCUUCACAGAAAAAAGGUACUGGUUGAACUCUGGUAAUUCCCAGACUUUCCUAAACAUUUAGUUUUUUCCAAAAAUGACAGAUACCAGAUUCAGGAGUAUUGCAGGAGGUUUGCGGCUGGGUUUUGGCAUAAAGCAAGUUCACAGAAUGGACUCAAAAGUGGUGGAUAAGAUGUGUGUUAGGAGAUAUCACGCAUUUCGGGAUUCUUUUUUACUUCCUGUUCCCCUCAAGUUUUGCAUGUGUCAAAUGGGCAUUCAAACCUGUUGGUUUAAUGGAAGAAGCCAUGUUUUCAUACUUAUUCUGUGACAGAUUCCCCUUGGAGUCUGACCAAACAUUAGGUUAGAUGAGAGCGAUGAGGUGAAGACAGGAUUUCUUGCCGAAGAUUCCUGUGAGGAUAUUCUCAUUGUCUUAAAUUAUACUUUUUGUGUUCUAUUUUCUCACUUGUCCUUGUUUGUAUCAUUUAAAAAAUUUCUCAUAUGGAACUGCCCUUUUUUGGAAAGGCAGUACUAAAAUGAUAUUGAGUAACAUUAAGUUAACCUCCUUAGACUGGCGGUUCAGUGCUCUAGUAAGCUGACUAGAUAUUCUACUUAAAUGUGGAUAGACCCAUUUAUACAGCAACAUUUCUCAAGGCAAGAUUGCUCUCUUCUCAGUUCUCUCAGGUAUGAAUUGUGAUGUUUGUCUAUAAAAGUCAUUCCCUAGAGGAUAUUCUUACAUCUUUGUAAAUAAUUCAGCAAAGGAAGAUUACUUCCAAGGUCCCCUUCUGUUAUUUCACUUCCAAAUUUUGCUGUUGUGUAUCUGAAAUACAUUCUCCUUUUCCCUUGCUGACUCUGAAGUGGUUCUUAACUAAAGAAGCGGGAGGAAGGUAAAACGAUAUGAAGUUCUAAGCUUUCUGGGUCAGCACUCCCCAGAACACUAGUCCCUGGAAAGGUGUUUUCGAAUGUGCUUUCUGUGUCAAAUGUGUUGGAAAAUGCUGCUGUCCUUGAGAAUCACACUGCACUCUAGGGUGUUAGAACUCUGAAAAUUCAGACAAUAAAGAAACGUGUUCAACUUUAACUCAGCACUUCUCAAACUUAUCUGAUCAAGAACAUCUCUUUUUAUAUGAUAUCUUUAGCAGCCGUUAACAGAUGGAGGAGUAAGUGUUACAUGGGAAACAUUUUGAGAAAUGUUCUUCUCAGCCAGAAGACAGAGUUCACUGUCUUUUAUUUAGCACCUGGGGAUAUAUAUAUAUAUGCUAUAUAUAUAUAUAAAUACUAUGUAUAUAUAUAUAUACUAUGUACAUAUAUGUACAUAUACAUACAUAUACUGUGUCUAUUUUUGUUUGCCCCAUAUCUUCAACAAUGAACAUGAAUUAUUUCUAUAUUUCAGCUGAAAAACAAAAUAAACUUUAUUUUUAAAAAAGAAUCAACAUUAAGUUUCUAUACUUUUCAUUCGUGCUUAAGUGGACACAUCCACCUGCCUGCGGAGAAGCCGUCGGUUGUUCCUCCCACUUCUAGUCAGUUAUCUUGGUUUGCUUGGGGUUCCAUAGCGCUUGUCUUCUAAGGUCCUCUGUGUCUGUCCUUGGAGUGCGGACAGCUCCUUCAGACUGAGGGUAAAGCAAUUCACACAUGGCGGAAUGGUCCACCUGGGACAAGGAAAUGGCCCAAUCAAGCCCUCCAUACUAACUUGUUACUGGAUCAUGUGUCCAUGGGAGGACGUUGGCAGACCAGUCGGAAUUCUUGGUUGCUACCAAGCAAAAUCUCUCCUAGUUGACUUGAGCGGAAAGUGAACUUAUUGGAAGAGUGUUGUGCAGCUCACAGAAUCAGUGGGAAGGCUAGAGAACCAGGUGAUGAAAAUGAAUAAAAAUUGAGGGAGGCAGGACACAGCCAAGAUCUUGCCAGAGGGAUAGUCCACUUAGGGUGCGCCGCUGCUGCUGUCACUGCUGGACACGUGUCAUAAUGCUGCUGGGCUCUGAUCAGGCAUUGGUUGCUAUGCUUGCGGGCACUCAAAUCCACCACAGCCACUGCAAAUGACUUCUGCCUCCCCACAGGCUUCAGAUGUUGGGGUUGAGUCCAGAAACCAAAAGAUGAGGUCCAAGGAGAGAGAUGGUACUGCUGUGGCUGCUGACAAAUCCUUAGAUGCCAGACCCAGACCCAAAACUGGACUGUGUAGGAGAAAACUGGUGGGGGUGACCACUUCAGAGCCUGGAGUCUUAGGAGUGGAACUAGAAAUCAGUGAUUAAAAAAUGAGAAAAAUUCCUUGUUUUGGAACUAACUUGGCUAUGCUCACCUCAGAAUUGUCCAGCCACUUGAACAGCUUCCAUUGUUCACUGGGACCUUUUGAGGAUUGUCAAUCUAUUCACAGGGAAGCGGGUUCCAAGAUCAGAGUCUGUUUCCAAUGGGUCAUGAGUACAAAGAGCAUGCCUUUCAAUCUGUAAAUUACCUCCCCGGAAAAUCAGGAGAAAAGAAAUUGAAGAGUGGAAAGGAGGCCUGAGGCUACAGGAGUGCUUCCCUGGGAUUUCUUGAUUUGGAGCCUGAGGAAGAACAGCCUUGCCGCUGAGGCCAGGUGCUAAAGGGCUAUGAAGGUGAGAGCAAGAGCACAAACGAAUGCUACAUCUGGUUCUUCCAAAUAACAGAGAGACACAGGAAAACUGAAUGUGUUCUUGCCUCAGGUUCAGACUUGUUCAGUACAGCAAGCACUACAGUGCGUUUCCAUAUUGACUUUGGGAAAAACACAUUGCACUGUUUAUGAAGUUCUGUAGUCAAUCAGCAAACACAAAUCUAGCCCCUACUUGAGACUGCUAAUAAAGCAUAUUUAUUAUGUCCUCACUCCCAAACCCAGUGUAACAACUCUACAAACUAUAUACAUGAAUAACUACGGCCAGAGUUUAUUUCAUAAUAUAUUAAAAAUUCUAACUUGAAGAGGCAAUCAAUUCUACCAGCUCCAGAAGCUCCUUUCUGUUACCAUUACCAAUGGCUAAAACUAAUGGUUAGGCCACUAAAUAUCAUGUAGGGGAAAAAACCCUUUGUUUCCUCUUUAAAUUUUUGAGAAAGAACAAAUUGUGUUGAACAAACAUGAUAAUGAAAAUAUUAUAGCUUUGCUGGGUAUUGUUACAUUUUCAUUGUGUUGUAACCGCCUCUCAGGAUUAUGUUUUUCUAGCAUGGGGCAUUGUCUAUUUUUUUUUCUUCUUAUUCUCCCCAAAGCCCCCCAGUAUGUAGUUGUAUAUUCUAUCCGGGAGUGCCUCUGGCUAUGCUAUGUGGGAUGCUGCCUCAGUGUGGCCUGAUGAGUGG